ensembl:misc_RNA Metazoa_SRP Metazoan signal recognition particle RNA
GCCGGGUGUGGUGGCGGGCACCUGUAAUCCCAGCUACUGGGGAGGCUGAGGUAGGAGAAUUGCUUGAACCCAGGAGAUGGAGGUUGCAGUGAGCCAAGAUUGCACCACUGCACUCCAGCCUGGGCAACAGAGCAAGACUCUGUCUCGA